GUCGAACGCUGGCGGCGUGCUUAACACAUGCAAGUCGAACGGAAAGGCCUCUUUCGGGGGGUACUCGAGUGGCGAACGGGUGAGUAACACGUGAGUAACCUGCCCUUGACUUUGGGAUAACUUCAGGAAACUGGGGCUAAUACCGGAUAGGAGCUCCUGCUGCAUGGUGGGGGUUGGAAAGUUUCGGCGGUUGGGGAUGGACUCGCGGCUUAUCAGCUUGUUGGUGGGGUAGUGGCUUACCAAGGCUUUGACGGGUAGCCGGCCUGAGAGGGUGACCGGCCACAUUGGGACUGAGAUACGGCCCAGACUCCUACGGGAGGCAGCAGUGGGGAAUAUUGCACAAUGGGUGGAAGCCUGAUGCAGCAACGCCGUGUGCGGGAUGACGGCCUUCGGGUUGUAAACCGCUUUCGCUCAUGACGAAGCUUUGUGUGACGGUAGUGGGUAAAGAAGCACCGGCUAACUACGUG
rnacentral:rRNA from 1 species